UUAAAUCAGUUAUAGUUUAUUUGAUGGUAUCUUGCUACAUGGAUAACGGUGGCAACUCUAGCGCUAAUACAUGUCGUUGAUGCCUGACGCAAGAAGGGCGGACUUUAUUAGGUUCAAACCAUCCGGAGCAAUCCGUGUGGCGAGUCAUGAUAACGUAUCGAAUCGCAUGGCCUUUGUGCCGGCGAUGCUUCAUUCAAAUAUCUGCCCUAUCAACUUUCGAUGGUAAGGUCGUGGCCUACCAUGGUGACAACGGGUAACGGGGAAUAAGGGUUCGAUUCCGGAGAGGGAGCCUGAGAAACGGCUACCACAUCCAAGGAAGGCAGCAGGCGCGCAAAUUACCCAAUCCCGACACGGGGAGGUAGUGACAAUAAAUAACGAUGCGGGGCCCUCUGGGUCUCGCAAUUGGAAUGAGUACAAUUUAAAUCCCUUAACGAGGAACAAUUGGAGGGCAAGUCUGGUGCCAGCAGCCGCGGUAAUUCCAGCUCCAAUAGCGUAUAUUAAAGUUGUUGCAGUUAAAACGCUCGUAGUUGAACUUGGGGCCCGGCGGUUGUGGUCCGCCUCGCGGCGUGUACUGCGUGUGUCGGGCUCUGUGCC
rnacentral:rRNA from 1 species